UCUUUCUCAUAUGUUAUAUAAAAGCUGGCAUC
rnacentral:piRNA from 1 species